ACAAUACACAUUAUGUUACACUAUGGAUUUCACAUGAAUUCACUAUGUCAGUUGUUGUUAACUGUAUAUCAAUAUGUCAUAGUCAAUUCGUGUGAAAUCCAUAAACAAAGUUGUCUUUGUUACCCUUUGGGAAAAAAAAAAAACAAAACUCAAUUUUGCCCCAAGGUAUUAGUGUUGCCACUAUAAAAAUAAGAGCAGAUGUCAAUGGUUCUCGCUUUGGAUGAUGUCGUGAAGAAAAUCUAUCUGAUACUCUUGAUUUUAAAAGCUAUAUGUUCAUCUUAGAAAACCAUGUAGGAUGAACUGGAUGUUGGUAAUAAAAACAGAUUCAUACUAAACUGGUUACUCUCAAUAACUGUGAAAGCUCUAUAAAUUAGGCACCAUUUUUCAGAGAGGUUCUUAGGUAAAGCAAUAUUUAAAAUCACUUUAUGCCUCCUACUACAAGUGGUAUUUAUAAGAAUUGAGGCCAAAAAAAAAAAAAAAAAAACGAUUCUUUUGAGAAAACAAUUUCUACAAAUAACUGACGUUUCUUUGCAAGUAACAUUCAAAUUUACUGCACCAACUGUUGUA